GCACAAUUCUUGUAGGACGAGAAUAAGCUUGAACUACCUUUGGGAAAAUAUUGCCUCUUGACAAGGCUUCCAUUUUAUAUGCUGUCUUUGCUGCUAAACAAGGCAAGGUUGCGCGCUCUGCAAGCACAGAACGAACAAUUUCUGGACUUGUUCCCUUAUCCAUCAGAUAUUGCUCUAGUCUUCGAGUAACAAAUAGAUGUGCAUCAUCUAUCAUGCAGGCAUCAACUUUAAGAGGUUGGACAUCAGCUGCAAGUCUUAAAGCCUGGACCAAAUCCAAAUUUUUAUCCUUUUCCACCAAUAUUUGGACCAGACCAUAAGAAAUUCUUCGCAGGCCAAAUGGAUCAUUAGUGGAACUAGGCUGACAACCAGCAGCAAAUAAGCCAAUAAGGCUGUCUAAUCUGUCAGCAACUGCCAAAGAUAUCCCAACUUCAGUUUGC
rnacentral:misc_RNA from 1 species